rnacentral:misc_RNA from 1 species
CACGCGACGACAGUCAUGUAGUGUAUGCGUGACUUUCCGCCGGGACUCACCACGAACACAAGCCUGUCACAGUUUGGCACAACCUUCAAAGACCUUCAAGCCGAGUGUUUUAUCAGUUUUGACCGUCACGGGUUUAACCAACAUCCGUCACUUCUCAGUCUCCAUAUGAGUAACGUAAACAGUGUUUCAAAAAAACAAAACACUCAAAAUAUUUUGACAAAAAAUCCCGAGAUCGCGAGUAAAGACCGCCAUUUUGAAACACGUUCUUUAUAUGUACAUGUGUACGAGGAGUCCUGGGGUAGAAAAGCUACCUCACGUUUUUCAUUCGCCUCGUCAUGCAUUCUCGUCCCCAGAGGCCUCGCUCCUUUUAUAGUCAGCACCAAGGGUCGCGAUUCUUGGUGCUGACCUAAAGGAGCGCGGCCUCUGGGGACGAGGACGCUCGUCAUGCAAAGACAAGCUUAAGACAUCAUGCCCGGAGCAACUUUCAAGUCAAAUUUGCUCGAGGAAGUUACAAAGUUCCGUUUGCGUUCUGUCAAUUCUCCCGUGUAAAAUGAGAGAGGAAAUAAUAACCCUGUGGUUUAUUCUUCACGAACAGAUUGCGAAACUUAGUGGCCGGUUGAGCUAAAAUUGGGACAGGCGCUUCAUAAUUCAAAACUCAACUGCACAAUCUGUAGUGUAAAUUUAAAUUUUUGUCCGCAACUCCUUGUUCAUAUGGCGAUUUCACUCAUUCUGUCCCCAAUUUCUGUCGAUCUGUUGAUCAACGGUCGACCGUACGGCAAUUCGUUUCUUCGUGUUUGACACAGAUGUGGUGGUAUUUUUUCCACUUGCUCGAGCAAAUUGGAAUUAAAAAUUAAGUUGCAAGCCGCCUCAAGCAAACUGUUUAUCAAUAUUGGAAUAUUGCAUCGCGACAUUGCAGGGUUCUUGUUAAAGAACAUGCCUUUUGACUGUUGCUGUUGUAUUUUUGCCAAACUGGAUUGUCGACUGAAAGCUGGCAAAUCUAUUUAUUUAUCUAAAAAUCUUGCUCUUAGAAAACAGCUGCCUCGUCACAUAAUAAUUCAAUCCUCAGCAGGAAAAACUCUUGUGUGGGAUGAAGAGUUUUGUCCAAGCUUUCAGACCAGUUAUAGAAAAGACGAAAAUAAAAUACAAACAUAAUUUUUGUGUUCGUGCGUAAUGUAGUUGCUUGAGGCUUAACAAAGAAUUUUGAACACAGUUUACAUGUGCCACGGUCACGUGAUCCAGCCAAGCAAGCACCUGCUUUGUCCAAGCUUGGUUACUCAGGUCUUGUCGCAAACAAAGCCAAGCCGACUUUCAAGUUUCUUAGUGGCCACUUAACUAACGUGCCUGACGCCGAUUUGCUCAACUUAUCGCCAUGGCAACUCAGCCCACCGACAUGCAGCAACGUGACUCAGUGAAAUUCAGGUAUCAAUCAGGUGAUUUAAAAUCAGUCUAUUUAUUUCGCUUUUUAUAACACGUGUAAACAUUUCGUCCUAGCGGCACGGUCGUGACCACGGCGAUGAAAAUCGCGACAAACUCAGCAGCGAUAUUUUUUCUCGUUGUUGUGUGUCCGCCCGGCGUUUUUAGCGAAAUUUGCCAGCGGUUAAACCCGUCUUUAUUUCAAAGAUGUAUCAAAGCAGGGCACAAUUACACAGCAUAUUUCCCGAGUAAUACGACACUUCAUGAAAAUAUCAUAGCAUAUCACAUAGAGCGAGAAGCGCGACAGUUUGGACAAUGUUCAAAAUAUCUCGAUACAAUAUUGUGCUCUAUUUUCGUUCCUAAAUGCGUCGAAGAUCUCUACAGUCCAGUUUUGCCAUGUAGAAGGGUCUGUGAAGACUUUGUCAGGGACUGCGAGUUAAAGGUAGACUCCGAGAGAAUUGAGUGGAUAAAAGGGCUUUGUCAUUUGUUGCCUUAUUCCAUAGCGAACAAGAGCGACCGAGACGAAUGCUUUCAACCGGCAAAUUAUAAGCCGCGAGUCAACGCUACAACCCCUCUCGUUCAGAGCUGCACCAAACUUAUAAUGUCUUCCUGUUCCUAUCUCGGCUACUCGCAUACCACGCAAACUAAACACUUACAACUGAUACUCGAUAAUGUGCUCAAGGGAAAACUCCACAAAUUUGGAAAUCACUCCGUGUGUUCACCGAUGCUCAAGAAAAUUUUCUGCGCAGAGUUUGCUCCACCAUGUUUUCCACAAGACAAGACAGAAACUGUUCUAAGAACAGUGUGCAAGUCAGACUGCGAGAAUGUGCAGACAGAGUGUCCGGAUUUAUACCGGCAACAUUUUGGAGAAUACAGUUACUGUGAGCAAAUGGCAACAGAACAGAGCGACUUGGAUGGAUUUUGCAAACUGACGAAAUGGCCGACUGCCGUACGAUGGCCUUCACGACCAAAUCCUACAAUAAAGCCCAGUCUCCGCAGUUCAUCAAUACCAGCCGCUACGUCUUCCACACCGUCGGCUGGUUCAUUCGUUCCCAGACCUGUCACGCUGAGGGCCAAGAUUUCCCUGCCAGUAGUCGCUAUCGUUGUGUCUUCUGUUGUUAUUGCGCUGUCAGUAAUCGCUGUUGUAAGUGUGCUCUUGCUGCGAAAACGACGACCAUUCACUGAGGGGUGGACGGUAAGGGGAUAUCGGCGUCAUCCCUUGAACGAAUGGGAAACUUCAGUGUCGAUAAAAACGUGAGCCCACGCGCUCCUUUUAGCAUUGCGGUUUCGUCCUUGGUAUCACGCUUGAACAGAUCAUCCGCGAUCCACGAACUGUUCACGUUAACAACUCAAGGUACAAUCAAACACAGAACGUGAUAUUUCUGAGCAAACGGCAGGUUUUGCGUUUUUGGUAAAGUUUGAUGUCAAAGGGAGUCUUCCAGGGAGAAAAUCAAGAACUUUUAUUUUGAAGCAAUAAAUUUUCUAACCAGUUCAAA